UGGGGAAUAUUGCACAAUGGGCGAAAGCCUGAUGCAGCGACGCCGCGUGAGGGAUGACGGCCUUCGGGUUGUAAACCUCUUUCAGCAGGGACGAAGCGCAAGUGACGGUACCUGCAGAAGAAGCACCGGCUAACUACGUGCCAGCAGCCGCGGUAAUACGUAGGGUGCAAGCGUUGUCCGGAAUUACUGGGCGUAAAGAGUUCGUAGGCGGUUUGUCGCGUCGUCUGUGAAAACCAGCAGCUCAACUGCUGGCUUGCAGGCGAUACGGACAGGCUUGAGUACUGCAGGGGAGACUGGAAUUCCUGGUGUAGCGGUGAAAUGCGCAGAUAUCAGGAGGAACACCGGUGGCGAAGGCGGGUCUCUGGGCAGUAACUGACGCUGAGGAACGAAAGCGUGGGUAGCGAACAGG
rnacentral:rRNA from 1 species